GUCUGGGGACUAUUUAUUGACAUUCCAUUGGAGAGAGGUUUUUCUUUGAGGUAGCCUCCUUGACAGUGUACAGAAGGGCCUCUGGUUCUUCUGGAAUCUUCUUCAGCUCUCCAGUGAUCAGAAUGACAUCAGAGCUGCUUCUUCGCAGCCUGAAGGACAGACAUGGCGCAUGUGAGACAGUCAUGGAGGGCUGUGAGACCAUAGAGCCACCCAUCGGGCAGAGGCAGCCUGGGCUGAAGGACCUGCGUGGGCAGAGCCUGUGCUGCUAUUAGCUUCCGCUGGCCCUUCUGACGGCAUCAGCUGAUCCUCGUGGCAGCACAGCAGAUUGGCAGGGUCAAGGUGCUUUUCCAUUUCUAUUUUGUGACGUUGAACAGUAUGGGUUGUCACUGCCUGGGGCCAUUUCUUGAGUGCAGAAGGAGCAUGGCAGGCUGAUAGACAUUACUGGGUCAUUGCAAUGGGCAGCUAGCUGGUGCUCACAGUGGGGGCAUCGCCAAGGGUGUCCUUGACAUUCGUGGGGCCAGUGCCAGAGCUGUGGUCUUACUCUGCGUGAUUAAUUAACACGCUGGGAGCUCCAGUGGGGCCUAAGUGCCCAAGUGCCUCUCCACUGGAUGGGACAGCUGCAGUGAUGAUGCUGGUGGCUGGUCGAGUGCCCCUUUUCAGGAGAAUCCCCUGAAGGUACCUUGCGAGGGCCCCUUUGCCUCAGGCACCUCUUGGACCUGAUACCCAGUGCUGGCUGCUCCAUUUUGCUCUGGUCACAGGUAAGUCACGGUUGAGUCACAGGCCUAGGUUUGUUGCCCAUGAUGAGGGGUGGGUCUCCACCAGCUCCGCCAUUUUGUCGUGAGCUAGAGGACAGAUACAGUGGUCUCAUUUCGUCUCUUGCUGCUCCUCCCUUGUCCCUGCUCCUCAGGAGCAGCAGGAGGACCACAGUUCUGUUCCUUUUCUCUGGCUAACUGGAGGAUUUCCUGAAAGCCUUCUCUAGGCAUGACUUUUGGCCCUCCUUACUUGCCUGGCUGAUAGUCCUGAAGAAGUAGAUGUGAGCAGAUAAUUUGUCCAAGAUCAGACACAAAGACCGUGGGGAUAGGGACACCAUACUUAUAUUAUUUCAACCUUCUCUCCUUCAUCAGAACUGGGGCUCCAUUUUCAAAACUGAGACUGCCUCUCUGUCAUCUCAGUGGACAUGAUUAAGACUGCCGGUAAAUGUGUUGCUGAUGGCUGUUUGGCCUUUGGAAGACAGCACUGAGUUGAGUUCCGACCACAGGGACAUUUAGGACUGCAGGCUGUCCUCAGAGGCUUCUUCCUCCAGCCCUGCCUGAGGUCUUCAUCUCCUGACCGCCUGGCGAGCACACCAGAGGGAGUCCUGGGGCAGUCGUGGCCCAGCACAUUCUCCCAGACUCCCUGGAUCUUCCCCACAGCCCUGCCUGAAGAGGUCCAUUGGCCGAGGUCCCAGGCUGGUGGUCACAGCCCUGUGCAGGGACUGCUGGUAUCUGGGGGCUACUGCGGGCCCAGGCCACAGGGAGGGAACGUGGCUGGAAGGGCUGAGGAGGAUCCCGCAGUACCCUAGGACAGUGGGCACAGCCUCGUGUGGAAGGUGGCCGAACAGGGUUCUUCCAGAGGGCCCCCCCUCAAUCCUGUUGUGCUAAGUUCAGAGGGUUGGGUGGAGGCUCUCCAGAAGGACUCUACAGAGCUCCGCACCCACAGCCUGUGCUGAUCUGGGAGAGAAGAACCACGGCCCGCUGCCCGGACUCCAGCACCUUUCUGACGCCCUUCGCACCUGCCCUGCUGCCUUCCCCAGGAGCCACCCACUGUCCGUGGCUUCACAGCACGCAGGCCUCUUGGACUUUGGCUAGAAAAUCCCUCUGUUGUCCGCCUCCGCCAGAGUGAGCGCCUGGGGCAACACCUUCGCCGCUGGGUGCUUCAUUACGUUGUCUUGUCUCCACACGUGGUACACAGUAGGUGCCCAAUAAAUUUGUGCAGGAGUGGCUGAUGUCUUUCUCUUACUUGCUCUGUGCAGCGCCCAGCUGUCCGCUUGCUGAAGUCCACAAACCAAGUGCGCUAGCCCUUCUCACUUCAUGUGCUCGAUUUGCUUCUGCAGUGGUCACUGCUUGGGUAUUACUCGGGGAGAUGGACCCCUCAGCCUCCACCCGACCAGCCGGCUUCCCAGCGGGCCUUGCCUUUGUAGUGAUUACCACGGCACAGCGUGCCACCCGUCCUAGUGCUUUCCUCCCCCGGCACCUAACCCCACGGGACAGACCCGUCUUCCUCAUGCACCCCGCGCAGGGAAUUGCGAGGUGAAUGGCCAGACGGCGAAGGACCCACAGACAUGAACAAGGCAGCGAAACUUCCUGGAAGCAGAGCAGCUGCUGCACUUGAGGUGUAGAACAGACAAGAGGAGGCUUUGGGGUGGCCAGGAGGGGUUGGGUCAAGGGUGUCCCCCAGCUGUCCUGAGAGCGGAAGCGAGGGCAGAACUCUCAAUCCUUAGAGCAAAUUCUCUUCAGAGUAUUUGCCCCACUAUAAGAGCACUACCCAAAGUAGGCAGAGUUCUAGGGCCCAAGGACCCCUGAGGUCCAUUCUUACUUGGGCCUCUCAGGAACCGAGGUGGAACUCAGCGGGUGCCCACCAUGCAGGAGGUCAGGCUGCUGAGGGCCAGGGGUCAGCAGUAGAGCUGCUGAGAGCUGAGCUGUCCGGGAGACGGCAGACUGAGGACCUGUACCCUGCUAGGACACCCUGUGAGACACAGUCAGCCCUGGGUCACCCCCUCCACACACACAGCGGGAGGAUUUGGUGGGGAGACCAUGAAGGAAUGGCACAAGAGGCUAAGGGCAUGGCGGAGGCCUGCAGAGGAGAGCCGAGCAGGAGCCACCACUCCAACACAUGCCGCUGAAGGACUCAGCCCUUGCCAGCAGCGCUAACAGAGAAGGCCAGAGCCCUUGCUGUAACAGUUUUCACCUCAACCCAUUUAACCAGAAAGAAAAAGGAAAAAUGCAAAUGUAUUGCGGGCCCCUUGCACUCCUGAAAUUCCACCUUGACUAUACGGCCACAGGGCGAGGAAGUGCCAAGAAGCCUUGUGACCUCCCAGGGGGUCUGGUGAUAUGAGGAUGUUUCUUUUGUUUUGGGUUUGGGGCAUGAGCCCAGGGUCUUCUUACCGAGCUACAUUCCUAGCCUACUUUUUGAGACAGGGCCUCAUUACGUUGCCCCGACUGGUCUCGAACAUGGGAACCUUCUGCCUCAACUUCCCUGACCCCUAGGAAGGUGCACAGGCAUGUACCCCAGUGCUGGUUUACAUGUAGCUUUUUGCAGAGCCCAAUGAAUAGAUGAAGAAAUCAUUCUCCCGAGGGCUGCGACUGGCCCUGCAGUCUCUCUGUAGGUGUGCACACAAGGUCCAUGUGCACACUCAUGGCUCCCGGCUCUGUCUGGAGCCUCCGAUGGACUGGAAGAAAUGCUAGCACCCAAAUUUUGGUCCUGGUGGCAUUCUCCAGUGAGAACAACCAGGCUUUAGUGACAAUAUCUGGUCCUUGCUGCAAGGUGAGCCUGAACAUUGGGAGCUAGGCGAUCAGAAAGUGCUCAGAAAGCCAGACAUGGGAACCUCAAGGGGGACACAGUUGCCCACGGAGAGAGCUCCCAAGGACCAAAAUGGAAAGUGCAACAAACAAAGUCCUGGACUGUAACCCAGUACCUAAAUAUCUGUGACUCUAGUUAGUAGGCAGAAGAGACACAUCCCUUCUAGAGAACAGUUCCGAUAGGGACUUACUCAUUAAGCAGAUGGAACAAACUCCCCAGCCCUUAAGUCUGGGUGAUGUUUGGUGACUUGCUCCCAAAGAGUGUGAUAUUAAAAGAGGGUUGAAUUCUACAUUGGGGAAACUUGGCACGCGUGCCCUCAGCAGGCAACAGAGAUGAGCUCCGUGAGUGACAAGGCCUGUGCACAGUACACAUAUGGGUGCAGCGAGGUGAGCAGGCACCUCACCUCCAAGUCUGUCUCUUUGUCACUGGGACAAAAUACCCAAUACCCCAAGGUUAAAGGAGGGAUUGAGUUUGACUCACAGUUCGGAGGUUUCUGUCUGUAGUGCUCUGGCUCCAAGAUGGGACAGCCUGGCACUGAGGCAUGGCAAAGAAAUAAGUACUUGUGUCAUGGCAGCCCAGGAAGCAGAGAAAGCCCAGAGAAGAUCCUGGAAGGGAGGUAGAACUUCCUGGUCACGUCCACCAUGGCCCACCUCUUCUGGCCAGCCCACCUCCUACAGCAAGUCAGCUGCAGCAUUCCCACAAUGCAGUCACCCUGCAGACAUCCUUCCCUGAGGCUUUAGGAGACAUCUAGGUGUACACUGUUACAGCCUGCCUCCCCAGCCCACCUACCCAGUCUAACAAGAACCAAGCAAUCAGCAACCCAUAUUCUGCAACAUCCAUGACCAGGACUUCCAUGCCAUGGAACACAAGGAGCUCUCAGAGGAGUCUAAGAAGAUAUGACCGACGUCCUAUGGGAUUCUGGUGAGCUGUGAGGCCAGGGAAGGGUGGCGAGCGAGGACCAGUGCAGGGGCAUGCCGAGGCUGGGUCUAAUGCAUCAGCGUCGCUUUAUUAGUACACAGCCAAGUAACGGGGGAAACUGAGGGCAGGUGGGCAGAAGCUCUGGGCCAGGCAUGUUCAGCCAUCUGAUCUUUGCCAAAGGGCCCAAAAGCAAACCCUUGAGGAAAGAUCACCUCUUUAACAAAUGGUGCUGGGAGAACUGCUGUCCAUAGGCAGAAGACUGAAUUUAGACACGUAUCUCUUACCAUGUACUUUAUAAAGUAAAAUCAAAAUGAAUCAAAGAUUUAAAUAUUAAAACAAUCUGCUGGAAGAUUUAAUAGGUAAACUCUUGAGGACAUAGGCAUAGGCAAAGACUUUCUGAACAGAAUCCCAAUUGCACCAGAAAUAACAUGAAGAAUCAACAAAUGGGAUCAUAUCAAAUUAAAAAGCCUCUGCACAGCAAAGGAAACAACAGUGAAGAGAACCUACAGAAUAGAAAAUACUUUUUGCCAGCUACUCGUUGGACAAUGUUUAGAAUGUAUAAAGAAUUAAAAAAAAAUAGAUGUACCAUAAUAAAAGACCCAGCCAAAAACAAGGCACUUUUUUCCUUAGAAAAUGUGCAAAUGGCCCAUAAAUACAUGAAAAGAUGUUUCACAUCUCUGACCAUUAGAGAAACAGGAAUUAAUACUGAGAUUCCAUUUUAUUCCACAAAUAAUGGCGACCAUCAAAUCAAAUAAUACCCGGCUGAGGCAGGAGGCUCACCACAGGAUUGAGGUCAGCCUGGGCUACAUAGGGGAGAGAGAGAGAGAGAGAGAGAGAGAGAGAGAGAGAGAGAGAGAAUGAUUGCUGGUGAGUUCAUGUGUGUGUGUGAAAGGAAGCCUUCUAUAGUCUAUCAUUGGGAAUUUAACCUAGUACAAGUACUAUGGAAAUCAGUAUGGAGAUUUCUCAAAAAGCUACAACUAAAUAUUCCCCUGGACCCAGGUAUUCCCCUUCUAGAUGUCUUCCUGAAAAAGUUAGAGGAUAUAUAUAUAUAUAUUUUUUUUUUUUCCAGUACUGGGGGUCGAACUCAUGACCUCAUGCUUGCCAGGCAGGCACUUACACCACUGAGCUAAAUCCCCAGCAAAGGUAUAUUUUGAUACAUGUAUAUCUACAUUUAUAGCACCACAACUCAGAAUAGCUAGAUUGUGGAAGUGGCCUGUAUGUCCGUCAGCAGAUGAAUGGAGAAUGCAAACGUGGUGUUUGUUGUAACAGAGACUGCCCUGCAAAUGAAGGGUAAACUUGAGUCAUUUAUAGGAAAGUAGAUGCACCUCAAUACUAAAAUGUUGAGUGAAAUAAAUCAGACACACAGGCUUAAAUGUCACAUGGUUUCUUUUAUAUGAAAAAAGUAUAAAAUAUAAGCAAAAUAAAGAACAAAAUAAAAGACAGACAAUAGGAAACAGAUAGAUUGUGUUUGCAAAUGAGAAGGGGAUGAGAGGAGAUGGAGGGCUGGGGAGGACCCCUAAAAAGAAUUCAGAUGCAUGUGUGUACAUGGGCCACCUCCCCAUGUGAAUGGAGUCACGAUGUGCUGCAGCAUGUCCUAAUAAGAACAAAUAAAGAUGCAUCUCCAUACCCAUAAAGACUCCAGUGCAGCCAUGUGAGCUCAGAGCGGCCAGGAAGCCACAGAGUUCAGAUGAAGUGGGCACCGCAGAGAAGGGUACACUGGAUUCGUGAGUUGCAGGCUGCCCUCACACCUACCAGCCUGAUGCCCUGGUCCCCUAAGACAAGGAGACCAGGUCAGAGGGACUGGGUCCAUCCUGGGGUCCAGGGAAGGACAGAGAUGGAAGCCCUCUGAGCUCACAGCUGGACACUCACAGAUAAAGAAGGGAACAGCCAUGUGCACCCGUGUUUCUAGCAGCACAGUUUAUAAUAGCCAGAUCUUGGAAGCAACCCAAAUGCCCAUCAACUGAGGAAUGGAUAAAAAAGAUGUGUUAUUUUUUACACAAUGGAGUACUACUCAGCUAUAAGGAAUGAUCACAUUGAGAUAUUUAUAAGUAAGUGGAUGCAACUUGAGACCAUACUCAUAAGUGAAAUAAAUCAAACUCACAUGAGUAAAUAUUGUAUUGUCUCCCUAGUGUAAGAAAUGCUAAACAUAACAAAACAAAGCAGAUCAGAAGCAAAACAAUGUAAGUGACACAAAUUUCAAAGCAAGACAACAGGAGAUCUAACAAAAUCCUCAAAAAGUAUAGUAAGAAUCUCCUCAAAGGGGGGGGGGGGAUAUCUCAGGGAAAAGGUGGAAAAAGAAAAAAUAUCUAAAUUUAUAUAAACACACUCAGGAUAGCUAAGCUGACUGUGCUACAGAUUCUGUAAGUCCAUCGAACAAAGCGGUUAAUAUUCACAGGAUUGGAACAAUUUUGCAUGUUUGUGUCAGGUGACCUGAGGAACUCUUGAAGAUCACUGUGUAAAAUAUCAACCUUAGUUCUGUUCCUAGCACUGUGUUUUAAAGGCCUGUAUCGUCGUUGUUUUGGGUUCUUUGCUAUUGUUAUUUAUUUGUCUUUUUUGUUUCUUAUUUUUCUAGCAAUCUGUUUUGUUUUAUUUGGUUUGGUUUGGUUUGGUUUUUCCCUCUAAUGCAGAAAGGAGAGGUGUACAUGUAGAGGGUUAUACAUGCCUAGAACUUCUAAACAGUUUAUGAGAAUCCGUUGUAUUAUGUGUGAUGAAAUGAACAGCUACUCUGAAGAAAAACAGACACUAUGGUAUCCAUUGCUGAUUCCGUAUCAUUAUGCUGUGAAACCCGAUAAUGCUUCUAUUCUUUGUUCAGAGUGGUUUUAGUCUGUUUUGUAUUGUUUAAUUUCAACAUACGUGGAGGUAUGGACAGCUAUUUGGAAGAGAACAAAAGACAUUAUGGCAGCCAUUGUUAAUUUUCCUAUUGUGUGGUUUUGAAGGUCUGUAAUGCCUUCAUCACUCUGUUCUGACCAGUUUUAUACUAUUUUGUUUUGUAUGAAUUCAUUGUGUGUGAAGAUAUAGACAACUAUUUAGAAGAAAAUAAGAGACAUUAUGGUAGCCACUGUAGAUCUCCUGUUGUCUUGCUUUGAAAUUUGUGUCACUUACAUUGUUUUGCUUCUGAUCUGCUUUGUUUUGUUAUGUUUAGUUUUACCCUUUUUUAAAAUUAAAAAAAAAAGAGAGAACAGCCA